CAUUCUCCUGGAGCGUGUGAGUGUGUGAGUGAAGGUAGGAAGCAAGGAUGGAGAAAGAAACAUAGUUAGUGAACAAGAGCAAGAGGAAGGAAGUAUGAAAGAGAGUGUGUGUGAGAUCAGAGCUGGGAAGCUCAUGGAAGCGACGGGACACAAUCAACACCACUGUCUGCAAAGAUCACGAGGGUAUCCGAGGGCAGUCAGAAUGGCGCUUCCCGAAUGAUGUUACACAAGACUGUGGAUCCUCUAAAGUGUUUCCUGCUGGGACUUCGAGAUAUGUUGAAAUGCUAAGUAAAGUCCCAGAAUGCGAGCUGGGCGGGCCAGCGCUCUGCUGACUAAGCCUAGCUGUCAGGAGAGCUCAGAAGGAAUGGGUCGGUCUGUCAGAACUUUGAUGCAAAAUCGGCCGCGUCUGAGGAGGCAAGGCUGCCUGGGAUUGUGCCACGGAAUCCUCCUCCGCAGCAGCCUCCACAAAACUCAGCUCAGGGUAAUUUCCUUAAGAGCUUUAAUUACGGCCAGGAGCCAUUAAUGUUUGGGCCAGUGUUUAGCAAGCAGAUCAAGCAUGACAAACUGUCCAUGUUUCCUGUCUGAGGAUUUGUUUGCCUAGCAAAAAUUCAUAAUGCUCUAAUUGGGUGUAGUUAAGCAACAAAAGAUGCUGUAAACUAAAGAAAAGAAAAAAAAAAAAAAAAUACAUGAAAUUUAUGGUUUAAUAAAUGUAGAAAUGUACCUUAAAAAUGUGGCUUUACAGAUUGAAUUUAAAUUUACAGUAAAAAAAAAAAAAAAUGUAUUUUAUUAACUUUAAUAAUUCUAAUAUACCAAAUCAUUAAAAUAAUUUUUUUAUAUAAAAUAUUAAAAUAUAAAUACUUUAUAAUAUAUUGAAAACCACUGUAAAAACAUAGGUGGAAAAGAGAAAACCAAAUACAAAACACCAUCAUGAUAACACAAAUGACACUAAAAUAAUGCAAUAAACAUUAAUUUAACAACAGAAGAUGUAAUAUCAAACAUCAAAUGUGAGCUGUCACACCAAGGAUUCUGGGAAUAUCAAUUUACAUUUCUCUGUAAAUUAUAAGAUGACUUAUUCUUCUUUACUUACAAAGACUAUAAAUUUAACAUGAUUUUUCUAUAUAAUUACAUGAAAUGUCCCAUUAGAUCUAUUACAGUUUUUCAACAUAUAGAGUACAUUUUUACAGUAGCGUUUUUUACAGUUAUUUUUAUUUUUAUUUUUUUAAAUAUUUUGGUGACAUUUUACAGUGUUAAAGUAAAUAACAAUAUUAUUUGUAACUAGCACUCAUUAGUGUAUUCAAUAUAGUCUAAUAACUAAUAGAAAGGGGUGUAACAAUCAUAACUUACAACAAUAAUGAUCGUUUUCUGAACCAGUUUUUCUGAACCAUUUCCCAUCUGCCAUAGGCUGAACAUACAGGGAGGCUGUUUUGUGUGAAAAAUGGCAAUGGACGCCUCCGUACACUGAAUAAACUGCUUGUGUGUGUGUGUGUGUGUGUGUGUGUGUGUGUGUGUGUGUGUGUGUGUGUGUGUGUGUGUGUGUGAUCGUUGAGCAGUAUGAAUUUAUUUACAGCACUACACUUUGAUUUCUAUGGUCACCGUCAACACUUAUAAAACCUGGAAAAUGUUUCAGUGGUGGCAAAUCAGGUACUAAUGUGUGAUCUGAUGUCAUGUAAUCAAUAUUCAUGAGCCAAACUGAUCAUGAAGUUUCACACCAUGAUACUUUCAUGGAUUUUUGGACAUGAACCGUGGCAGUACCAUGAUAUUCUUAGACGUAACUACCAUUCAAAUAUCAUGGUACAUGAAUUGAUGAAUACAUCAAACACUAUGGGGUGUUACCAUCUCACACCAUCACUGCACCACAUACUACUAAUGUAAUUUUUUUGUACAAGCCCCUGCUAAUAUAUAUAUUUGUUCAAUAUUUUGCAGAUUCUUUCACAUAUUCUUUUUUAUGUGUUCUUAUGUAGACCACUGACCACUUAAAGUAAGUAUAUUGGAAUGGCAUUUUACACCUGUAACAAAUUACAUGUGUUCUCUCCAGAUCUAUAUAUCUAUGUAUCUGUUACACUGUAAAGAAUGUUUUAACUACACUUGCACAUUUUUACAUAUUGUAUACUAUACAGUAUUAUAACAUAGAGACAACAAGAUGAUGAUGAGACAUUGACUUUGGUUUCGUCGGUGUGCCGUGUGUGGGAUGUGUGAGAUAAAUGAGUUGGUUCUGAUGUACCAGACAGACUGUCAGAAGAACAGCUGGUGCUUCAGCAGGAAAUAGCCCGAGCGCUGUACGUCAAGAGCACUGCUGCACGAACAUCACUGCAGAAUACCUCUGCUGAGUUAUAGUCACUCUCCAAUAUCAAGAUCCAUUACUAGAUCUAUAUCUGUCUCUGUGAGAAGGACUUAGGGUUCAGUGGUUCUUAUUCGCAUUAACAACUGAAAAAAAUGGAAAAUAAUGGGAAAAAAAAUUCAUUUUAAAUAGAAUUAAAAUGACCAAAACUUAUUUUC